AUUGAACGCUGGCGACAUGCCUUACACAUGCAAGUCGAACGGCAGCACGGGUGCUUGCACCUGGUGGCGAGUGGCGAACGGGUGAGUAAUACAUCGGAACAUGUCCUGUAGUGGGGGAUAGCCCGGCGAAAGCCGGAUUAAUACCGCAUACGAUCUACGGAUGAAAGCGGGGGACCUUCGGGCCUCGCGCUAUAGGGUUGGCCGAUGGCUGAUUAGCUAGUUGGUGGGGUAAAGGCCUACCAAGGCGACGAUCAGUAGCUGGUCUGAGAGGACGACCAGUCACACUGGGACUGAGACACGGCCCAGACUCCUACGGGAGGCAGCAGUGGGGAAUUUUGGACAAUGGGCGAAAGCCUGAUCCAGCAAUGCCGCGUGUGUGAAGAAGGCCUUCGGGCUGUAAAGCACUUUUGUCCGGAAAGAAAUCCUUGGCCCUAAUACGGUCGGGGGAUGACGGUACCGGAAGAAUAAGCACCGGCUAACUACGUG
rnacentral:rRNA from 1 species